AAUGAUAUUGAUAAUGAAGAUCACAACAUAUCUCACUACUAGAUAGAAUUGAACCUAUGAGGUUACACAAUAAAAAAAUUUGAUCUUGGAUUAUUUAAUUGGGCUCAUAGAGACUCCAUUAGAUUAGGAUUUGAUAAAAUCUUAUUAAAUUUAGGAAAACUAUGCUAGCACAUAAUUAAACCCAAAUCCUAUUGGGCUUGGACUCCCCA
rnacentral:lncRNA from 1 species